rnacentral:rRNA from 1 species
GAUGAACGCUGGCGGCGUGCCUAACACAUGCAAGUCGAGCGAACAGACGAGGAGCUUUCUCCUUUGACGUUAGCGGCGGACGGGGGAGUAAAACGUGGAUAACCUACCUAUAUGACUGGGAGAAAAUCGGGAAAACGGAGCUAAUAACGGGUAAUAUAUCCUACCGCAGGGUUCAAGAGGGAUAGACGGUUUUGCCGAUUCUUAUAGAUUGAUCCGAGCCGCAUAAGCUAGUUGGUAAGGUAACGGCCUACCAAGGCAACGAUACGUAGCCGACCUGAGAGGGUGAUCGGCCACACUGGAACUGAGACACGGUCCAGACUCCUACGGGAGGAAGAAGUGGGGAAUCUUCGCCAAUGGGCGAAAGCCUGACGGAGAAACCCCGCGGGGGUGAUGAAGGUCUUCGGAUCGUAAAACCCUGUUAUUGGGAAAGAACAACUGCGUGCGAAUCUAUAGACGUCUUGACGGUACCUGAACAGAAAGCCACGGCUAACUACGUG